AUCUAGUUGACCAGUCCAAAAUGGGAUGAAACGCACAUCCUAGAU
rnacentral:hammerhead_ribozyme from 1 species